UUCCUUGAGUUUGAGCAGAUCAGACGUCUGAGCAGGGUCCAGGCCUGCAGACAGGGCGGCGUCCACUUGCUGCACCUGAGCCUCAUAGGUGCUGAUCUCAGCCUCCAGCGACUCUUCGUCCAUCUUGACGGUUUUGCGUCAGUGUGGACGCCUGUGAGUAGAGGAGAACGUGUGAGAGACCAUUUCACUUUCCCACCACAACGAAGCUCUUGCUCAAGGACUCAAGCCCAUGACCUGAUUCACUGGCCAUCUAAGAUCAUCAGACAUGCCUGACAAGUGCAACAGAUCCAUCUGGAAGUUUCCUUUCCAUCCAUACAUUCACACCUUUAUCCAUUUCACUUACAUUUACUUCUCCACAAGAUCACUUGCAGGGUUGAUGUUCUUUGUUUUGUUUCCAAUACCGUCCACUUCACUGUUCUUCAUCGAUGCCAAGCAGACAAACGACGGGAUGUAUUUUUGUUGUGCAAGAACCAAAUCAUGUCUUUAAAAUGAGGGUUAUAUUUGACCACGGUGGUGGUGAAGUGUCAGUUUUCACAGGGAAUUUGACCGUGAAAUAAAUCCUCAACCCGACACAUAUGUCGGUCGCAUGAAAAGCUGUUGAUAAACUCGAGCUUCCCUCGGUUAUUGCAGUUACAUCACAAUCAUUGCAGGUGAAACAACAGUGAAACAAAGCUGGUCGCAGCUAGCAUUUAGCUCUUAGCAUCACAACUCAUGUUGGACAUCAGUUUCCUUACCUUUGAUAUCACGUGGUUUCGCCCCAGUACAUCAACAGUGGACAGAGGUCAGCUCCAGUGACAUAGGUUUUCCGUUGAAGUUCAAAUAAACAUCCAACCUACGAUCCAAAUAUACACAUUUCUCGUUACCGGUGUAAAUGAAGCGAGCGUGCUGUCAUGACACUUCCGCUGUGCUCCUCUCGAAUAAAACUAGUAAUGUGGCGUUAUUAUUCAACGUUUUGUUGUAAAUGCGGCUUGCGUGUGUAUUUUAGAGUUCGCUGUAAACCAGUUAAAUUUAAAGCUCUGUUUAAAAAUGAUUUAACAGCGUCACGCUUUUAUUUUGACAACCACAUCACCGCGUACUAACACGUCAUAUCUUCGCGACGCAGUAGCAGCCUUAUGGCGUCAGAAAUCGGAGCCGUGAAGUUGUGUCAAUUGUUCUAGUCGUGUCUUUAGCAUGUUUUGUUUUGGUAAAGCAAAACGAAUAAAAACGGGCAGCAUGUUUGUUGGAAGUGAGCCGUGUUCCUCACCCUCUGGUCACAUGGUGACAUGUCACGUGGUCCCUCCUGAGAGUUUGAUCCACAUGUGUUGUGUGACUUCAUAGUUCCACAUCCACUGUCCAGUGGAGACAUGAGUCUGCAGCCUUUAGUGUCAGCACCAGUCGUGACCAUGAGGUGUGUUCAGCCAAUCAGGAGGAGAGUGGGGGGCGGAGCUAUCCUGCAGCCAAUCAGCACGGAGCAGUGAUCACACCUGCAGACGAUCAUCUCAUCACCUGCUGGCUCCUGCAGCAGCUCAGUCUGGUAGAAGCUUCUGAAGACUGUGCUCCUCAGAAGGUUGAGAUGAAGAUGGUUCCUUGCUGCAGCCACCACAGGUGAGUCAGUUGUGAGCAGCAGAAUGACUUGGUUUCCUGCAGACUCAUGUGCUCCUGGAUGCCCUGAGAGCCACUUCCUGCUGUGAUACACAGGAAGUGCAGACACCAGCUGAAGCUGCUGACACAGGAAAUGCUGGGACAUGACAUGACAGGAAGUGGAGAUGUCAGCUGAAGCAGCUUCUGUUAGCUUUGAAAGUUCUUUUCUCCUGAGGUGUGUCAGCUGGAGCCACUUCCUGCUGUGACCUGGAAGUGGAGUUUGACAGGUGAGAAGGUCUGGUUCUGUCUUUGCAGGUCUGGCUGCAGGAGUGCCACUAUCCACCAAGGUGAGAAGACUUGGCUGGUGUUGCAGAGGCUCAGAAGAGAGCUGUUUCUCUGUAACAGGUGGUUAUUCUGUCUGCAGUGAGCAGCAGCAGGUAAGAACUGGAGACAGUGCUGGUUUUAUCAUGUUUUUAUUGACAGACAUUUGCUCAUUGGACACAAGUGUGAGGAUCUGCAGCUUCAGGUGAGUUUCUUUGCAAGUUGAAUCACAUCUUGAUUUUGCAGGUCUUCAAGCCUCUGGAGAAAAAGAAGUUUAUGGUGAGCAUGUUUUUGUUCCCUUUUCCUUCUGUAUUAAACGCUAUGAGGCUCUCACCUGAUGAUUGAUUCUGUCUCUUGCAGGACACGUGUCUCCCAUCUGGUCGAUCUGCACAAGACAAGAGUCACAAGCAUGUUUCAACUGUCCUUGGUCAAUAAAACAUGAACACAACUGUGGUUUCUUAAACUUAAUAAAAUCAUGAGUCAGCA